GCUGGGGGUUUAGCUCAGAGGCAGAGCACUUGCCUAGCACAAGCAAGGCCCUGAGUUCAGUCCUCAGCCCUGGAA
rnacentral:tRNA from 1 species